GAGGGCAUAGCUCAGUGGUAGAGUGUGUGCUUAGCAUGCACCAGAUCCUGGGCUCUAUCCCCGGUACCUCCA
rnacentral:tRNA from 1 species